rnacentral:rRNA from 1 species
UGGGGAAUAUUGGACAAUGGGCGAAAGCCUGAUCCAGCCAUGCCGCGUGUGUGAAGAAGGCCUUUUGGUUGUAAAGCACUUUAAGCGAGGAGGAGGCUACUUGGAUUAAUACUCUAGGAUAGUGGACGUUACUUGCAGAAUAAGCACCGGCUAACUCUGUGCCAGCAGCCGCGGUAAUACAGAGGGUGCGAGCGUUAAUCGGAUUUACUGGGCGUAAAGCGUGCGUAGGCGGCUUCUUAAGUCGGAUGUGAAAUCCCUGAGCUUAACUUAGGAAUUGCAUUCGAUACUGGGAAGCUAGAGUAUGGGAGAGGAUUGUAGAAUUCCAAGUGUAGCGGUGAAAUGCGUAGAGAUCUGGAGGAAUACCGAUGGCGAAGGCAGCCAUCUGGCCUAAUACUGACGCUGAGGUACGAAAGCAUGGGGAGCAAACAGG